rnacentral:rRNA from 1 species
UACAGAGGGGGCAAGCGUUAUUCGGAAUUAUUGGGCGUAAAGGGCGCGUAGGCGGCUUGGCAAGUGGAUGGUGAAAUCCCGGGGCUCAACCUCGGAACUGCCUUUGAUACAGCAAGUCUUGAGUUCGAGAGAGGUGGGUGGAAUUCCUAGUGUAGAGGUGAAAUUCGUAGAUAUUAGGAAGAACACCGGUGGCGAAGGCGGCCCACUGGCUCGAUACUGACGCUGAGGUGCGAAAGCGUGGGGAGCAAACAGG